rnacentral:rRNA from 1 species
GGUUAAGGCCACACCGCCUGGUUCACGCCCCGAUCUCGUUUGAUCUCGGAAGAUAAGAUAGGUUGGUCCUGGUUAGUACUUGGAUGAGAGACCGCCUGGGAAUACCAGGUGCUGUAAGCU